rnacentral:rRNA from 1 species
UGGGGAAUAUUGCACAAUGGGCGCAAGCCUGAUGCAGCCAUGCCGCGUGUAUGAAGAAGGCCUUCGGGUUGUAAAGUACUUUCAGUGGGGAGGAAGGCGAUAAGGUUAAUAACCUUAUCGAUUGACGUUACCCGCAGAAGAAGCACCGGCUAACUCCGUGCCAGCAGCCGCGGUAAUACGGAGGGUGCAAGCGUUAAUCGGAAUUACUGGGCGUAAAGCGCACGCAGGCGGUCUGUCAAGUCGGAUGUGAAAUCCCCGGGCUCAACCUGGGAACUGCAUUCGAAACUGGCAGGCUAGAGUCUUGUAGAGGGGGGUAGAAUUCCAGGUGUAGCGGUGAAAUGCGUAGAGAUCUGGAGGAAUACCGGUGGCGAAGGCGGCCCCCUGGACAAAGACUGACGCUCAGGUGCGAAAGCGUGGGGAGCAAACA